GACAGAGGGUGCAAACGUUUGUUCGGAAUUACUGGGCGUAAAGCGCGUGUAGGCGGCAGGGCAUGUCGGAUGUGAAAUCCCGUGGCUCAACCACGGAAGUGCACCCGAAACUGCCCAGCUUGAGUCUCGGAGAGGAAGGCGGAAUGCUUGGUGUAGAGGUGAAAUUCGUAGAUAUCAAGCGGAACACCGGUGGCGAAGGCGGCCUUCUGGACGAUGACUGACGCUGAGACGCGAAAGCGUGGGGAGCAAACAGG
rnacentral:rRNA from 1 species